GAAGAAUCGUGCGUCGCGUUAGAGGUAACACCCUGUAUAAAGUGCCAAUACGUUUACUGUUACUUAUUGUCGAAGUUAAUCAACUAAAUUCAAAAGUAAGGAUUAAAUUGCUAAUAAAUUGAAAAAUUUAUGAAUAGGAAUUGCUAUGAACCCAAGGAAAUUAGGUGUAAAAGUCACUAACAAUUUAAUCAAGCGAAAAACAAAAGUUAUAAAAUGUUAAAUUGAAUUAAGAGUAAAUUCCAUUGUUGCUAAAAAACUUCAAAGAUAAAAGAGAAUGGUAAAAGAGGUGUCUUGGGUGCCUAAGGUAGAUAAUAGGGAGCAAAAGUUAUUUAAUUAAAACGAAGUACUUGUCUAAUCAGGAAUUCGAAUUAGAAUUAGAGUGGAGAAUCCAGGAGAUCCGUCAAGCUCGUUGGCUCGAUACGAAAUGAAAAUUUUAGUUCACGCUAGCUCUCGUACAUUGUAAUCUAGAGAGAAGGGGUUAUCCCUACCUCAAGUCGAAGAAGAAGUCAUUCUUUAAAUCAUUGAACAGACAUUGUUUGCUGAAGUAAAGAUUUACAAUAGAUUAAUAAUGGUGCACAGUGGUUUAUAAAUUGUUAAUGGUCGUUUAUAAUUGCCAAAAUUAAUAUAUUGUAGAAAUGUUAAUACUCACGUGUGUUCAAUCGUGUUCAAGACUGAUUAUCCGUGAUGUUCGUCAUUGAUCGAAAUAUUUACAAGUUUCGAAUGUAACGCUUAAUUCUGAGUUAUUUUCCUUAUUAGAUAUGAAGAAAUAGAAGAUAAUUCUUGUUUGUUUUUAGAUAUUUUAUUCUAAGAUAAAAGAAUUAAUUUUUGAAGUUAAUAAAAAUAGAACAUUAAUUUCAAUUUAAUUUUAUUUCAUUGGAAUUACUACUAUUUGGAAAAUGCUUGAAAAAAUAUUAUAAUUUUCAUUUCAUUUCUCUUUUAGUAUUUAAUUUUUAAUUGCGAGGGGUUGAAGUUAUUAAUUUUCAUAUUUGAUUAUAUAUUGUUUCCAAAGUACAUAAAUACAAUUCUCUAUAUAAUUACUAUUUGUUACACGGUCGAUAGUAUUUGCUAAUUUCCCAUCAAUUACUUCUCUUUUAUCUGAUUCUGAUAAGCACGCAACUGUUCGAAUAAGAAUGCGACGCUGAACGGCGAAUGAAAAUAAACCAUUAUUAAUUAUACCAUAUUGCGAUCAUAUAUCAAAUAACAUAUGCUACGAAUAGAAAGAAGGUAAUCCUUUUGUCUAAAAAUAAACAAAACAUGAUAACACCGCGGAAUUACAGUCGUGCGAAUUCUCCUCUUUGUGAAACUUAAUUUUGAAAAUUUAUAUAAUUUAUACUAUUUGAUUUAUUGAUAUAGUUUUAAAACUUCGUAGACUUAUUUAUACAUUAACACAAUUUGCUUGUGUUGUAAUUUAAAAACAAACCAUUUCCACUUGCGUAACUAGUUAGAAAUAGUGAUAAUGGAAUGCUUAUUUCAUAAUAUAGCUGAUAAUAUUGAUAAUAAUUAUCAAUUAAAAAUAGCAAAAUCAAUAGCUAGAACACAUAAUAAUGACAAUAGUGACAUUUAUUGCACAUAUAGAAUCUAAGAAUAACAUAAAAUAAAAAAUAUGAAGUGUAUGUGACCUCGAAGAAAUUAAUAAGAGGUUAAAGAUUAAAAACAGAGAAUUCUUCUUAUAUAAAUAUUUUAUUUCACUCUUUUCAAUACACCUUUAUGUAUAGAAUACUUUCAUUUUCAUGUAAUCUAUGCGCGAACUACAUUCCACCUUGUAUCUUACUGUUACUCUCGUUACAGUCAAAUUCUCUUUCCCGAUAUUCAUUCUUUCAUGAUAGAUAAGAUAAGAAACGGAUUAAGUUACCCGGAAAUUAGUGAAAUAUUUUCUUAGCCUUAUUUUGAUACAGUUACUCCAUCGAACAUUCGCUAUACCAAGUAUUUUAAUGCUUCGGUUCCUUGACAGAUAUUUUUAUUUAAUAAUUUUUAUAAUACUUCCCGAUGAUUAUUGUUUUAAAUAUUUCUUUCUAGGAUUUGAAGCAGUAGUUUUUCCCUAUGACAAACAUGAAAAAAGUAGAUUUGUUAUUAUUUUAAUUUACGAUUCAUUGUAUCAAAUCUUAAAACGUUUGAAUACAAUAAUUAUAAUAAUAUACGUAAUAAAAAUAAUCUUAAAAUAUAGAUGAUAUUGUUUUUGAACUUCAACAAGUAAUGUUCGUUGACUUGAGUAUUUUAGAAUUUCUUAUUUUUCACAAUUUUCAGAAUAUUCAACCAACAAAUGAGAAAAGAGUUCAUAAUGUAGCUCGAUAACUGGAAUAUGUCAGUGUUUUCUUUAGUUGUUUUCCACACAUGCGUCUUCGCACAGUUACAAUUAUCUAUACAAAUAAGAAAUAGAACAAAAACUGGUUAUCUGACCUUUCAUUAUAAUUGCUCUCCUGACUAAAGUAAAGGAUUGAAACUCAGUACAAAGUACUUCUUGGUUAACUCUAAUGAACAACUUGUAAACUCUCUGUUAGGCGCUAAUGACCCAAGUGUUGAUGCGACUAUAAAUACUUCUCGACAAACCAUCGGACAGUGAAUUGUCUGUUCAAUUUAAUUCAAGAGCACCUUUUAUUGAACCUCAUCCAGUUAAUACCUUCUCGUUUUAUUCUUAUUUAACGAUGUUUGGAAAUCGCAAGUGCAUAAUAACCGGCAACAUAUGAACAAAUACGCGCAGGAAUCCAAUCAUAUCGAAUGACAUCAACCUUCUCGUUUAUAAUAAAGACGUACAGUUGUUGGGCAACAAUCUUUAUCUAAUGGGUAGAUUUAUCACGAUAUUCACAGUUCCCAGCGAUUUCGUACAACGGGCCACGCUCAGAGAAUCCAAAAACCAAGUGUCACACCGCUGCUGGCCGAGAUAGCGCACGCAGAGGAUUUCGAAUGUCCGUUCACUUCGCCGCGAAGGCACGUUACUUCCUCGUGUAACGAGCCAGAAAGUAGGGGGAAAUAUCGGAUGGAAUGAAUCGUCCACUUUGCAGGUUGUCAGUGGCCACGGACCUUCUAAGAAUGCUAGACGAGUGCGUUCGAAUCGCUUCGAGACCUGUAUCGUGAACACCAUGUGAUUUCCUCUUCCGAAUCUCCGACCACCUGGCCAAUCGAACUCGGAACGAUCUGUUAAGACGUUCACCUUCGCAGCUCAUUAGCCAAGAGGUGUCUGUGAAUAAUACAGUGUUUCGACUCCUUUCGAAAUUUCCUAAUAGUCGACCGCGGUACUUGAUGCAAAUUCAUGUCUCUGUAUUUAGUAAUGUUUUAGUAAACUUUGAUUUUCUUCGCUGAUGGGUUCAGUGAAUGAACUUUAAAAUUGAAACUAUGUUAAGUUUCAAUUAACUUCGCGCUUCUCAAGUGUAUUAGAAGUUUCGAAUGACUUCACUUUUCGUAGGCAGAUUCGAGGAAGAUCGGAGUGGAAUUUGAUUUUCCUCGCUGAAGGAUUCAGAGAAUGAAAUAUAAAAUGUCAAGUUUGAAAGUUGCGCUUUACGAAUGUUUGACAAGUUUCGUUCACCAAUUUUCUCGGAAAUCUGAAGUUUCAUCAACUGAUAUUAGAAUUACUCUGAGUGAUUCCCUUCAUUAUAAAUGUGAAUACCAUUGUCAGUAACAGAACUCCUAUAAGUGUUAGGAGAACGAUUGAAUAAUUUUCAAACAUAAUUACAAUCCUCUUCAUCGUCAAUCAACGAAACUUUCCGCAAAAAAUACUAAUUCAUUCACCAUCUUUACCUUACCGACUCUUAAUCCAUCAAAAUCGAAACUGGAGGCUCAUCAAUCAAGUUUUAAGCCCUCGCUAAAAAUAUAUUUACCCGACACAAUACG